GUCCCUGCAGCACAAUGGAUUGCGCGUUGGACUUCUAAUCUAAAGAUCGUGGGUUGGAAUCCCACUUGGGAUU
rnacentral:tRNA from 1 species